rnacentral:misc_RNA from 1 species
GAUGAAGAACGUAGCGAAAUGCGAUACGUAAUGUGAAUUGCAGAAUUCAGUGAAUCAUCGAAUCUUUGAACGCAUAUUGCGCUCUCUGGUAUUCCGGAGAGCAUGCUUGUUUGAGUAUCAGUAAACACCUCAACUUCCAUAUCUUUUUUGAAAUGGGAGUUGGAUUUGAGUGAUCCCAACGCUUUUCCUCACCGAAAAGUGGCGGGUUACUUGAAAUGCAGGUGCAGCUGGACUUUUCUCUGAGCUAUAAGCAUAUCUAUUUAGUCUGCCUAAAAACAGAUUAUUACCUUUGCUGCAGCUAACAUAAAGGAGAUUAGUUCUUGUGCUGACUGAUGCAGGAUUCACAAAGACAGGCUUCGGCCGACUUUGUAAACUCGAUCUCAAAUCAAGUAAGACUACCCGCUGAACUUAAGCAUAUCAAUAAGCGGAGGA